GAAAUGCGAUAAGUAAUGUGAAUUGCAGAAUUUAGUGAAUCAUCGAAUCUUUGAACGCACAUUGCGCCCUGUGGUAUUCCGCAGGGCAUGCCUGUUCGAGCGUCAUAACAACCACUCUAGCCCUGCUAGGCCUUGGGUCUCUGCCAUUCCGGCAGGCCUUAAAACCUCACAGUAGCGCUGUCAAGCCUGAGCGUAGUAAAUUUACCCGCUAAAGGACUGAUGGAUGCCCACUGUCUAAGCCUUCUAUUAGGUUGACCUCGGAUCAGGUAGGGAUACCCGCUGAACUUAA
rnacentral:misc_RNA from 1 species